GUAAGGUGGCCGAAUUAGGUGGUGGUUUGUAAUUCCAUUUAUGGAGCGAUGCUCUUCUUAUCA
rnacentral:tRNA from 1 species